rnacentral:rRNA from 1 species
AACCUGCCAUGGAGUGGGGGGAGUAACCUGGGGAAACUUGGGCUAAUACCGCAUACGACCUCAGCACUGCGGUGCUGAGAGGAAAGCUAGCCAAUUCUUGAAAGCUAGCGCUCUUUGAGGGGCCCGCGCCCGAUUAGCUUGUUGGUGAGGUAACGGCUCACCAAGGCGGUGAUCGGUGGCCGGCCUGAGAGGGCGAUCGGCCACACUGGGACUGAGACACGGCCCAG